UGUUUUGGGUGGGGGAGAUAAAGGGGCACCGAUAUAAUGGCCCCGUUCUCUCUGCACACACAUCCAUUGUGCUAACCCGCUUGGAAACGCUCCACCAUGGAGUGGCUUUUCAUUGCCGUGGCAACCUGCUUGCUAGCCCUCUGUCCUGUCAAAGGUGAUGAGUGGAGGCUGGAAUAUGAAGAAGGACUCAGUCACUAUAGUGAGGAAGCACUUAGAAAGGAGUUUCCUGAGAAGACCAGGCC